UGAGCAGUGCUGGUGAUGCAGUAAAGAUGUUUCAGCAAGAUUCAGUGCUUGCAGAAUCCAUUCACAGAUGCUUCAGAGGAAGCUGCAAGACGGUCCCUAUGUGGGCUACAAUGCCGGAAGCAACACUUUGCAUCCAGGAAGUUGCUCGUUUUGUGAUUAGCAUCACCAUGGCCCUAGAGGGAAGGGAUGGCACUGUCUGGACAGACUUCAGGUCUGCUGAGGGUACUUGCACCUGA
rnacentral:lncRNA from 1 species